UACGUAGGGGGCGAGCGUUGUCCGGAUUUAUUGGGCGUAAAGAGCGUGUAGGCGGCCAGGUAGGUCUGCUGUGAAAACUUGAGGCUCAACCUCGAGACGUCGGCGGAAACCAUCUGGCUAGAGUCCGGAAGAGGAGAGUGGAAUUCCUGGUGUAGCGGUGAAAUGCGCAGAUAUCAGGAAGAACACCCGUGGCUAAGGCGGCUCUCUAGUACGGUACUGACGCUGAGACGCGAAAGCGUGGGGAGCGAACAGG
rnacentral:rRNA from 1 species